rnacentral:rRNA from 1 species
CCUACGUGAGGCAGCAGUGAGGAAUAUUGGUCAAUGGGCGAGAGCCUGAACCAGCCAAGUCGCGUGAAGGAUGACGGCCCUACGGGUUGUAAACUUCUUUUGUCAGGGAGUAAUUGGGUCCACGCGUGGGCUUAGCGAGAGUACCUGAAGAACAAGCAUCGGCUAACUCCGUGCCAGCAGCCGCGGUAUUACGGAGGCUGCGAGCGUUAUCCGGAUUUAUUGGGUUUAAGGGGUGGGUAGGCGGAAUAUCAAGUCAGCGGUAAAAAUUCGGGGCACAACCCACUAGUGCAGUUGAAACUGAUGUUCUUGAGUGGGUGAGAAGUAUGCGGAAUGCGUGGUGUAGCGGUGAAAUGCAUAGAGAUCACGCAGAACUACGAUUGCGAAGGCAGUAUACCGGCGCCCAACUGACGCUGAAGCACGAAAGCGUGGGUAUCGAACAGGAUUAGAUACCCCUGUAGUC